UACGUAGGGGGCAAGCGUUGUCCGGAAUCAUUGGGCGUAAAGAGCGUGUAGGCGGCCCGGUAAGUCCGCUGUGAAAGUCCAGGGCUCAACCCUGGGAUGCCGGUGGAUACUGUCGGGCUCGAGUCCGGAAGAGGAGUGUGGAAUUCCUGGUGUAGCGGUGGAAUGCGCAGAUAUCAGGAGGAACACCGGUGGCGAAGGCGGGUCUCUGGGCCAUUACUGACGCUGAGGCGCGAAAGCGUGGGUAGCAAACAGG
rnacentral:rRNA from 1 species